CCCCGCCCGGGGGUGGGGGCCCUGCUCCCGGCGGCCGAGCUCCUGGAGCCGCGGGAGGGAGGUGAGAGGGCGAGAAGGUUCGGUAGAGCCACUCCGCGGGCAUCGGGAACGAGAUUACCCCGGUCCUCAAAGGACUGCGUCGAGCUGGGGUGAGAGAUGUUCAGUAAACGGUUAUAAUGAAAUUCUGAAUUUUAUGAGAAAGGAAAUACAAGGUGCUAUAGGAGAGCGGAGAAGAACUUCUGUUGCCCUUGGUUAGGUUUUGUUUUCUUGGGGGGAGGGGGCGCCAAGAGGUUGGCCCAGUUUCUGUGAAUGUUUUUACUUUGUUCUUUUCUCAGAGGCUAAAAGCUGGUUCAGGAAUGAACAGCAGAGUGAAAGUGAAGACAAACUAAAGUAAUACUGACCCAUUUUUUCCCACUAAUAAGGAUAAAAGCAGAAAGUAAAAACAAACCCCUAGAGGGAGAUAAUGAGAGGAUAGAAAAGACAAGAGUGGGGACCGGAUGUGGACAACCUAAACAAGAAAAAAUUUUAAACCACAUAAAAAAUCUGCUAAAGUGAGAUAUAAAUAUUUUUCCAUUUUAAUACUCAGAAAUAGUCUUCGUAGAUUUUUAAUGCAAUUUCAAAUGUCCUAAGGACUUCUGCUAAUUAUCUUCUUGGAUUCCUGGACGAAUCCUUUCCCUCUAAAAAUAAUGCCUCUGGAUUUCUUUCUCUCAUUUUGUUGGGCAAAGUUGAAUGUAUCUAUUGUAAUAACCCAAAAAAGUCAUACAUUUCAAUCCGAUUUCCGUGCCUCUAAAAUUAACCAGGAUCCAUAAAUAAGCAACAUUUAUGCUCUGCACAUAUUUAACACUAGCUUAUCAUUUCUAUACAAAUGCAAAUAUAGAACACAAGCUUUCCUUUAGAACAAGUGUGCUUAAAAAAAAAAAAAAGUUAAUGAUGCUUUGUCAAUUUGUCCAAGUUGGAGAACUUGUAACAUGCCAAGAAUAUAGCAUCACUAUUACAUAGCAUCAUUUUUAGAGGUCUUUUAGAGAACUAGAAAAAUUAGUAUUUAUAUAAGGCAUGCUUACAUGCCAAGCAUCUUUCACAUACUUGUCUUAUUUUUAAAAAAUAAUUGUCCUUUUUCGAUCCCUUAGUAUAUAUUAAAAAUCAUGGGGCGCCUGGGGCAGGCUGCUUCUCCCUUUCCACUGCUUGCGUUCCCUCGUGCUCAUUCUCUCAAAUGAAUAAAUAAAAUAUUUUUUAAAUCAUUUUAAAAAUCGUAAUAAAAAUUAAUCUACAAGGGGUACCUGGGUCCCUCAGUCAAAGUAUCUGCUUUCAGCUCAAGUCAUGAUCUCUGGACCCAGGAUUGAGCCCCACAUCUGGCUUCCUGCUUAGCGGGAGCUUGCUUCUCCCUUUUGCACUCCCCCUGCUUGUGCUCUCUCUCUCUCUCUCUCUGUGUCAAAUAAAUAAAUAAAAUAUUUUUAAAAAGCGAAUCUACAAAACAACAUCCUGAGUUUCAAAUCAAUAAUUCCUCUUUUAUUUUAUUAGAUUGGAAUUACUCCUUUAGAAAGCCAAAGAUUGUCCUGAUUGCCUCAACUGAAGCUGCUAAAGAGCACCCUUUUUUCUUCCUAUAUCUUUUAUUACCAUAAUAAACAUUUCAUAAUUAAAACUUA